rnacentral:rRNA from 1 species
UACGUAGGGUGCAAGCGUUAAUCGGAAUUACUGGGCGUAAAGCGUGCGCAGGCGGUUAUGCAAGACAGAUGUGAAAUCCCCGGGCUCAACCUGGGAACUGCAUUUGUGACUGCAUAGCUAGAGUACGGUAGAGGGGGAUGGAAUUCCGCGUGUAGCAGUGAAAUGCGUAGAUAUGCGGAGGAACACCGAUGGCGAAGGCAAUCCCCUGGACCUGUACUGACGCUCAUGCACGAAAGCGUGGGGAGCAAACGGG